rnacentral:tRNA from 1 species
AGGGUAAUAGUUAAUAAUAACAUUUAAUUUGCAUUUAAAAAAUAUUGAAUUUUUCAAUUUACCUUA